UCUUCCGUAGUAUAGUGGUUCAGUAUGUGAGCUUGUCAUUCUCAGAUUCAUUCUGGAUGCCUUCGCUCGAGACCCGGGUUCAAUUCCCUGCGGGGGAG